AGAGAGAGAGAGAGAGAGAGAGAGAGAGAGAGAGAGAGAGAGAGAGAGAGAGAGAGAGAGAGAGAGAGAGAGAGAGAGAGACUACAAUCGCACAAUGCAGUUUAUUAAGGUGACUUCAAACUUUAAUUAUUUUUUGCAUGAGAGAGAGAGAGAGAGAGAGAGAGAGAGAGAGAGAGAGAGAGAGAGAGAGAGAGAGAGAGAGAGACUACAAUCGCACAAUGCAGUUUAUUAAGGUGACUUCAAACUUUAAUUAUUUUUUGCAUGAGAGAGAGAGAGAGAGAGAGAGAGAGAGAGAGAGAGAGAGAGAGAGAGAGAGAGAGAGAGAGAGAGAGAGAGAGAGAGAGAGAGAGAGAGAGAGAGAGAGAGAGAGACAUACCCCGAGUUCACUUCCUUUUGAAUCAUCCAUCUGUCACAUAACUUAGCUCUUUCUCUCUCUCCUUUUUAUAUAGGUAACAGAUUCUCGUGUCAUAUGAAAUGCCUUCUAUAUCUCCUGUGUCCCCUCCCCCACACCCAGGAGCUGCCGUGACCAAGGCCUAUCUCAGCGCCUGUGUCCUGUCCCCCACACCCAGGAGCUGCCGUGACCAAGGCCUAUCUCAGCGCCUGUGUCCUGUCCCCCACACCCAGGAGCUGCCGUGACCAAGGCCUAUCUCAGCGCCUGUGUCCCCUCCCCCACACCCAGGAGCUGCCGUGACCAAGGCCUAUCUCAGCGCCUGUGUCCCCUCCCCCACACCCAGGAGCGGCGAUGAUACUGUUCAAUGUGCUAGGGAGGAUAGGUCAUCACUGGUUAGCUGGUGUUGGGAGAGCGGGGCACCACCACAGAUAUAAAGUUCUUUAUAUUACAGCAACACUUAUAAAGUAACUCAAUCCCUUUCCCUUGAAGCAAUAGUUCCAACACCUUUGAUUUAGUGAUUGAAUGUUUCCUUCCUACACUUUUCAUUUCCUUGUUUCCUCUGACCCAUUCUCUCUCCUCCUCCUCCUCCUCCUCCUCCUCCUCCUCCUCUUCUCUGUCUAUCUUCAUCCCUUCCUUCCUUUUAAUUAAUGUCUAAGUUAUCCUUUGUGUGAUGUUCCUUCUGGUGGUCAAAUCUUGCAUCUAAUUUCCCUUCGUCUAUUCUCUCUCCUCCUCCUCCUCCUCCUCCUCUCUGUCUAUCUUCAUCCCUUCCUUCCUUUUAAUUAAUGUCUAAGUUAUCCUUUGUGUGAUGUUCCUUCUGGUGGUCAAAUCUUGCAUCUAAUUUCCCUUCGUCUAUUCUCUCUCCUCCUCCUCCUCCUCCUCCUCUCUCUGUCUAUCUUCAUCCCUUCCUUCCUUUUAAGUAAUGUCUAAGUUAUCUUUCGCUCAAGGUUCCUUCCAGUGUGUUUGUGGUGCCCGGCUCUGCUAGCUAGUUUGUUUUGCCACUGUAUAAUUGUCAAUCCUAGUUAGUUUUGUCACUGUAUAAUUGUCAAUCCUAGUUAGUUUUGUCACUGUAUAAUUGUCAGUCCUAGUUUGUUUUGUCACUGUAUAAUUGUCAAUCCUAGUUUGUUUUGUCACUGUAUAAUUGUCAAUCCUAGUUUGUUUUGUCACUGUAUAAUUGUCAAUCCUAGUUUGUUUUGUCACUGUAUAAUUGUCAAUCCUAGUUUGUUUUGUCACUGUAUAAUUGUCAAUCCUAGUUUGUUUUGCCACUGUAUAAUUGUCCGUCCCAGCCAGGCGCCUCUUCCAUGUAAAGAUAUCGGCAGCUUCAAGCCUUGCCGAUAUCUCAAUCCGUACGUGAAUGUAAAUUAACCGAAAUCCUUGUUACUAAGCCCUGCACGGUGCUCUCUCACAUAAUGCUUCUUUAAAUUUUCAGUCUCACUUAAUUUCCGGGGUUAGUAAUAUAUUUUGCCAUAAGCUAACUCCCCGUGAUGGCCAGUUUCAUGCACUAUAUAUAAGUAAUUUGCCUUUUGCAUGGCUAUAAUUCUGCAUCUGUGUCUAAGGCCCAGUUUCACAGUUCCUCAUGAUGGGUUAGUAAGCUCCCAAACCAAUACCAGAGCCUUCGAAAUUUCCUGUACAGUGUCUGGAGUUUAUAUUCAAGUUCACAAAUUUGACGAGACUAUACAGGAAAGGUCUUGUGUGUUUAUGCUACGAAGGAAAGGGAGGAGAAGGGAGAUGAGAUUGGGAGACGAGUGAGCCGAGAUCCUGUUUAUAUUCAAGUUCACAAAUUUGACAAGACUAUACAGGAAAGGUCUUAUAUUGUCAUGAUACGAAGGAAAGGGAAGAGAAGGGAGAUGAGAUUGGGAGACAAGUGAGCUGAGAUCCUGUUUAUAUUCAAGUUCACAAAUUUGACAAGACUAUACAGGAAAGGUCUUAUAUUGUCGUGAUACGAAGGAAAGGGAGGAGAAGGGAGAUGAGAUUGGGAGACGAGUGAGCCGAGAUCCUGUUUAUAUUCAAGUUCACAAAUUUGACAAGACUAUACAGGAAAAGCUGUGUUUAUGGUAUGAAGGAAAGGGAAGAGAAGGGAGAUGAGUAAGCUGAGAUCCUGUUUAUAUUCAAGUUCACAAAUUUGACAAGACUAUACAGGAAAAGCUCUCUGUUUAUGAUAUGAAGGAAAGGGAAGAGAAGGGAGAUGAGUAAGCUGAGAUCCUGUUUAUAUUCAAGUCCACAAAUUUGACGACACAAUACAGGAAAAGCUCUUUGUAUUUAGUGUGUCAUCGAAGACCGCGCCAUUUUGAACAGUAUGGGAUUCUAUAGCUUGGUUCGGGAGUGUUACAAAGACCAUGAUGGACUGUGGAAGCGGCCCUUAAUGUUCCCUUUUCUAAUAUGCCUCUCUGUUUUUGCAGGAUGCCGCGGACGGACCAUGCAGAGGACUCAUCGCGACGACACCAACGGUUUGGUUAAGUGGGUUCUCUUGUGUGUGCGUCUGUGUGUGAAUGGCAGGCCUGUCGUAUGAUUGUGUGUGUGUGUGCGUUGGCGUUAUGCCUUCGCACUAUUAUUUUGUUAGGAUGUAUUUUUGUGUGUGAACUUUUUGCACGUAAUCUUUUUUUAUACCCAUAGCUAGCGUUUGUUUGUGUGGCAGUGUUCCGGGAGAUGGACGCCGGGGACAUGGGCUUGGGAGGCGCACAUGACCUCCUCUGUCCGUGACCUCUUCAGCUGGGGAGACCGUGUGUUGCCCCGCCUGGAGAGACACGUUGAUGGAGGUGGCCGUGUGUGUCACCCUUUGCCUGUAUCCUCUGGCGCCCAGAGGCGCGUAAGCGGAGAGCAUCGGCGCAGCGCGGGAGCAGCACGUCAGGGUGUAGGGUGUUUGUUUAGCUGGUGUAGGGUGUUAGGGUGUUAGGGUGUUAGGUGUAACAACGGUUGGCUCUUUCACAGAACGGGUGUGAUUCCGUUCUGCGUUUGAGUCUUCCACCUUCAGACGGUCUCCCUCCGAGAUGUCUGAAGUUUUUUUUGUCGGUUUUCUCCGUAGGAGGAAGCCGACUCUAGCUACUCUGGCCUCUCUUCCGGGGGUCAGAGCGGUCGGGCUCUGCUUGGCCAGGCGUUGCCUUUCGCGUUGUCUCCGCCGACGUUUUGCCAGACUCUUCCGUAAGGUUGAGCCUGGCUUUUUUAUUAGGUGGAUCAGGCUGCCUUCUUCCAAGGAGUCUGAUGGGAGUGGAGUCUUUUUUUUGGUGUAUGUCUGUGGGUACUUAGUGGGUAAGGGAGGGUGGGGUAGAAUGGUUGGUGGGCUGGAAGUGGGUUGGGGGAUGAGCCUCCUGGGAUUUGGGUUGUGUCGAGCCUUACCGCCUGGUGUGUUGGGUAACCUUCACGCCAGGGGGGGGGUGCCAAGACCAUAUCCAUCUCCUGGGCAGGGCGAUUCCCCUUUCCCAUGCCAACUGGCCCUCCUCCGUCUGCCUCCCCAAACCCCCGCUGAGUGCUUGUGUGUGUUAUUUUAUUUAGGAUGUCUUUUUUUUCUAUGCCUUUUCCAGUGUGUUUAUACCCAAUAGCUAGCGUGUGUGUGUGUGUGGCAGUCCGGAGGCGCGUGCAGCGAGGACAUCACAUCACGUCACUACGGUAUAUCCACGGUAUUUGGUUUAGUGUGUGCUGUGUGUGUUUGUGUGUGUGAUGGCAGGCCUGCCGUGUGUUUGACCUUUUGCUGUGUGUUGCUGUGUGACUGCUAGGAUUUCAUUUCUAUGUAUGUUUUUUUCCCCAUAACCCCCUUCCUCCCUAGCUCUUUAGCUGUUGUCCCUGCUGGGUGGAUGCUGCCGGGCGACCAACGGCGGUG